rnacentral:rRNA from 1 species
CAGCCGCCACGGUAAUACGAAGGGUGCAAGCGUUACUCGGAACUACUGGGCGUAAAGCGUGCGUAGGUGGUGGUUUAAGUUCGUUGUGAAAGCCCUGGGCUCAACCUGGGAAUUGCAGUGGAUACUGGGUCACUAGAGUGUGGUAGAGGAUAGUGGAAUUUCCGGUGUAGCAGUAAAAUGCGUAGAGAUCGGAAGGAACAUCUGUGGCGAAGGCGACUAUCUGGGCCAACACUGACACUGAGGCACAAAAGCGUGGGGAGCAAACAGGAUUAGAGACCCCCGUAGUCCCUGUCUCUUAUAC